UACGAGGGGGGCGAGCGUUGUUCGGAAUUAUCGGGCGUAAAGGGUGCGUAGGCGGUUUGAUAAGUCUGAUGUGAAAUCUAUGGGCUCAACCCAUAGCCUGCAUUAGAAACUGUCAGGCUUGAGUAUGGGAGAGGUGAGUGGAAUUUCCGGUGUAGCGGUGAAAUGCGUAGAUAUCGGAAGGAACACCUGCGGCGAAAGCGGCUCACUGGACCAUUACUGACGCUGAUGCACGAAAGCUAGGGGAGCAAACAGG
rnacentral:rRNA from 1 species